AUGAUCACAAUUAUAUAUCUCCUAUAUUAGCUUAUUCUAUAUACACCAUAGCAAUUCCAAGAAAUUGUUCACUUCCACAGAGUGAAAGAUCUUCAUUCAUGAGAUCAGUCCUUAGAAAGUGGAGGAAAGUUGAUGAAGUUGAUGACACGUUAGAACUGACUUUGUGUGAUGUUUUUGGUGACAAGAUUCAAGAAACUAUAAACAAAGGAUUUGAUCAUCACUUUUGAUAAUCAAACUAAUGAAGAUGAAUGGAAAAUCUUAUCCACUUUCUCUGUGUGGUACAAUAAUAAACGUUUAAAUAUAGUGGACCGACUACCAUAUCAUUAUUUUCAAUAGAACUGUUAUUGAUAAUUCAGAAUUGAUGUCCGCUAAUCACUUCAUUGAUUCAGGUUCUGUAAGUUCUAGUCACCACCCGAAAGAAUUUUCACAACAUGACAUCCUUCUAAACCUUUGUCGAUACUUUGAUAAUCAAUGAAGUAUUAGUGGAGAUUACUUCUGAAUUAUCAAUAACCGUUUCAUUGAAGAUAAUGAUAUGGUAGUCCUUGUCGACCAUCUUUAAACGUCUAUCAUUGUAACACACAGUGAAAGUGGAUAAGAGUUUUUAUUCAUCUUCUAUCAAAAGUGUCGAUCAAAUCUUUGUUUAUAGUUGUUUGAGUUUGUCACCCUGAAAUUCUGGCGUGUAAUGGAAAUAAUAGAUCCUUUCUUUUGUAUUUAUGAAACGUUUACUUUUUGAUGGGAUUAUGUACAAAAUGAAUCAAAAUUUUAAAUAUAAAAUAAUAGAAUUCAAAUAUUAGAUGA